ACUAUAGACCGAAAGUGUGUUCAAAGUCUGUGCGAGAGGGAAAGGUAUAGAGCGAUAUUCGUCCUCUCUGCGCAUCCGUCAACAUCGUACCUGCACUGACCUGAUUGUACAUUGUACCUGAUUGUACCAGACAGGACCAGAUUGUACGCAAUUGUACGUACAAAUGUGCAUGUCAGAGUGAUAUCAGUAAUAUUUCGAUCUAAAUUUGCACAUUUGAACAAAAGUUUGUUAAUCCUAAACCUUGAAGGAGUGUUAAGAUAAAUACGUAAGCAUAACAAAAAAUAAGUAAGGGAUACGUCCGUUCGACGGAUUUUACACUGAAGUAAGGUUAAGUUGUUUAUCAAAGAUGGCUUUUCACUUUCACUUCGGGCUGAACAUGUUUCCGGAGGUUCCACGUCCUUUCAACACUCAAUAUAAAUGCUUUCCUGUGUCGAUGUUACCGGGUACAUAUCGACAAGAUGUAGAACGGGGUGGAAAAAUAAUUAUGCCACCUUCAGCAUUGGAACAGCUUACAAGAUUGAAUAUUAAUUACCCAAUGUUGUUCAAAUUAACUAAUAAGAAGACCAAUAGAAUAACUCACUGCGGUGUUUUGGAAUUUGUUGCGGAUGAAGGAAAAGUUUAUUUACCUCUUUGGAUGAUGCACAACCUUUUAUUGGCAGAGGCAGAACUAAUAAAUGUUGAAAGUGUUUCUUUGCCAAUUGCAAAGUUUUCACGCUUUCAACCACAAUCUGAAGAUUUUCUAGAUAUUACAAAUCCUAAAGCUGUUUUAGAAAAUGGAUUGAGAAGUUUUGCUUGUCUUACAACGGGUGAUGUUAUAGCCAUAAAGUACAAUCAAAGAAUAUAUGAAAUGUGUGUUCUUGAAACAAAACCUGAACCAGCAGUUAGCAUUAUAGAGUGUGAUAUGAAUGUUGAAUUUGCUCCACCAGUGGGUUAUGUAGAACCGGAGAAAGCAAUUAAAAAAGAUGAAAAUGCAGUAGAUCUUGCAGAUUUAAUGCCAGCGCCAGCUGGCUUUGUACCAUUCAAAGGACAGGGUACCAGAUUGGAUGGCAAGAAACGUAAAGAUUCUGUUCAAUCCGAAAUGGCUGCUAAUAAACCAACAUAUAUUAGGGGAAUACCAGAUUAUGAUUAUAAAAUAGGAACUCUAACAUUUUUACGCAGCAUUAAACCUGUUAACAAUAAGGAGGUAAAGGACCAAGAUGAAUUUAAAGCUUUCACCGGUGAAGGUUUCUCUCUUAGAAAAUCUAGAACAUGAUUGAAUGAUUGUCAGUCUAUUUAUUUUCUUAUAAUUACAUAUAUUUGUAAAAGGGGACACCUUUAAAAAAAUUGAGAACCGCUGGUCUACAAAUUCAUUUGCAGAGUACCGUCAGAUAUGAAAUGCAGUACUAAAUGUAAUUGAUAUGUCUAGAAGAUGCAUUUGUCCUGCAUUCCCAUAUCUGAACAUCUA